rnacentral:rRNA from 1 species
CACUCCUACGGGAGGCAGCAGUGGGGAAUAUUGGACAAUGGGCGCAAGCCUGAUCCAGCCAUGCCGCGUGAGUGAUGAAGGCCCUAGGGUUGUAAAGCUCUUUUGUGCGGGAAGAUAAUGACGGUACCGCAAGAAUAAGCCCCGGCUAACUUCGUGCCAGCAGCCGCGGUAAUACGAAGGGGGCUAGCGUUGCUCGGAAUCACUGGGCGUAAAGGGUGCGUAGGCGGGUCUUUAAGUCAGGGGUGAAAUCCUGGAGCUCAACUCCAGAACUGCCUUUGAUACUGAAGAUCUUGAGUUCGGGAGAGGUGAGUGGAACUGCGAGUGUAGAGGUGAAAUUCGUAGAUAUUCGCAAGAACACCAGUGGCGAAGGCGGCUCACUGGCCCGAUACUGACGCUGAGGCACGAAAGCGUGGGGAGCAAACAGGAUGAGAAACCCGGGUAGUCCCA